rnacentral:other from 1 species
ACACCUCUGCCAUGUUCGACACGGGGUGAUCCUUUUGGCGAACCAAUGAAAACCCGUUGGGAGCCGAUUCACGACCUCCUGGCUUGUCCUUGAAGGUCUCAGGUACCCACUUGAACUGCGGGUUCUCAAAAGCGCCCCGAACGGCAUCGCGGUGGAGGUUUU